AGCUUUGCGCAGUGGCAGUAUCGUAGCCAAUGAGGUUUAUCCGAGGCGCGAUUAUUGCUAUUUACUUUUAGGAUGUUUUCUGUGCCUCCUGGACUUGAAUGCCUGUAUCCUUCCCAAGAUU
rnacentral:snRNA from 1 species